CCAGGCUCCUGUGUGCAAGCAUAACAGAGUGUCGUCAAUAGUGUCAGGGACUGGUGCUUGUCCAUGGGAUUGGUCUCAAGUUGGGCCAGUUAUUGGUCGGCCAUUCCCUUUGUCUCUGCUCCAUCUUUGUCCCUGCAUUUCUUGACAGGACAAACUUCGGGUCAAAGUUUUGUGGAUGGGUUGGUGCCCAUCUACUGGGUCCUGCCAGGCUGGUACCAUAAAGGAGCAGACUCAAAUAAAGAAAAUCCACGCUCCGGUAUUCCAGCUGGCACCUGAGGCCGGCCGGCUGGAUGCAGCCCUGAGCAUCUGUGUCCCGUUGCCUUAUAGCCUCCUCCCAGCACAGGAAGUGGACUUCUGUCCAGUUCAAGUCUGAACACUAUGCUCUAGACUCUGGACCACCCCAGAGAGAUCAACCCUGUCACCCAGGUCAAUAGCUUCUUUUGGGAGGCUGGUGUCCUCUUCCUCAAUUCUCACACCAAGGCUUCAGGUAUAUAAAGCUGGCAUGAAUUUUAAACUAUAUAUUUGACCAAGUUGUUGUUAAUAUCAAUAAUGCUAAGCACUAAUAAGUAACUAGUCUUUUUGAAUAUCAGUUAUUUAAAAUAUCCUAAUUUCUUUACUACACUCACAUAUCUAAAUGGCAUAGAUAAUGUCUCGCAUGGCUUCUCUGCUGCUUUUGUCUUGUUUUGUUGAGACAGGCUUUCAUGGAGCAUAGGCUGGUCUCCAUCUAAUGUGUAGCCCAAGAUGACCUUCAGCUUCCAAUCCUCUUGCCUCUACCUCAUGAGUGCUGGGGUUACAGGUGCAUGUCACCAUGCCUGGGUUUAUGCAUUGCUGGGGAUUGAACUCUGGGCCUCUUGCAAACUAGAUAAGCACUUUAUCAAUUAUGCUAUGCCCUCUUUAGAUGUUCAAUAUCACCCAUAGGGGUUUUUAAUCACAAAAAGUAUAUCAGAUGCAUUUACUAGUAUGAUUAAAGAAAGGAAAAGGAAUAAUUGUUGUAGGGAGAAAUUAGGAUGAUGGGCCUAAGGAUGAAGGUAGAGGACUCUGAUUGCAGAACACUCAAGUUCUCCUUCCUGCACAAGUAACAUUCACAUACAGAUGUAUCGGCUUGGUGGUCCAAGGGUUUCUUAUUAGAUAGAAUGUAAGAACCAACAGAGGAAAACUUAAGAAGAAAUAGGCUUAUUGAAGUCAAAGAAAAUGCUUCCUUAAAAGGGCCAGAAGGCACCCACUGAGCUGCUGAGUGACCCAAACUCUUAAAUGUUGGGGAUGAGGGAGGGUCUUAUGAGUUAAGGCAGGUCUCAUGCUAAUUCUCAACACAUAGCUGGGAAUUCAAAGGAGUGGUCUGACCAAAUGCGCAUCUUUCAGAAGUAGGAUGGUGACUUGGAAGGAGGUGCAUAUAUACAAUGGUAACUCUAAAGGAAAGUCCCUAAACGCUCUUCCCGAUCGAUCGUUCCGAUCCCUGCAGUACCCAGCACACUGACACAGUAGCAAGAAGCCCUGCAGUGUGGAGCCACAUCAGGACAUGGCCAUCAGUCCACAUGUUUAACCCACUGUCCCUGUCCUUUUUAACUUUCCACAUCAGAAACAUUGGGGAUGUUGAGGGAAAACUGAUAGUUAUGCUGGGCUGGAGUGCUGGGGUCUGUAGUGUCUGCUGCUUGGGAGGAGGCAGCUAUUCCUGAGAUGCUAUUGUUCCUGUGCAUUACAGUGUCAGCAACUGUGAAGCCGGAGAAUACACACAUUAACACAAAUGAAACCACAGUUGGGAAGGGAAUAAAGGAUUAUAUUUUAUAUGAAAUAAAAUGUACUUUUUUCCUUAAAAUAUAUCAACAUAUACAUGAAGUCCCAUAUUUCUUCCAAAAUUGGAGCACUUUGGUACUUUCUCAAGAGAAAUGCCCAAUAUAAUGAUCCCAAAGCCAUGUUUACAGAAUCAUGCCAUACAGCUUGGACUUUAUCUUUUCCUAAUGUACAUCCAAAACGGGUAUCAUGACAAAAUAGCAAUAGUGAUAGCUCAUUGAUAACUCAGUGAUGUGAUCCACCACCAAAUGGUGUCUACCUACCUACCUAACAUUGAAAACCCCAGAGCCAGAGGUGAUAGUGUACUUGGGAGACUAGAAGCAAGAGGACUGGGAGUUCAAGGCCAGCCCAGGUUAUGAAAAAAAAAAAAAAAAGAAAGAAAUAACAAAAACCCCAGGCAUGUUUUUCAUCUUGCAUGUUUUUAGUUGUUCGUCAUAUUUUUAUUUUGGUUCAAGCAAGCAGGGAUGCACCACAUAGCCCUGGCUUGUGGUCCAUGCUGCUCUGUUCCAGAGGAGGAAGGUUGGUUCUCUGAGAUCCUCAGAAUUGCAUGCACAGAACAGUCUUACAGGACCCUGGAUAAUCUGCCGAGCUCCUCUUCGUCUUCACUUGAGCCGCACAGCACAGGCAUUUUCUGCUUGUCAGAGAGCUUUGGGCUCUCGCCUCUGCCUGAGACUCACUUUCCUGAUUUACUCAAUGCUCGUCACCCAUGGUGAGAAUUCAGAGAAACAGUGGCUAUGAUAGGGAGUUACGGGACACAUAUAGGGAAGGACAUCUCUGAGAUAAAGACCUUUACGUCUAGACGUGGAGUCUAGGGAGAAAAAUCUCUAGGCAGAGGGUGCAGUAUGUUAAAAAGUCCCGAGCCAGAACAAACCUCUAAUUAGUGAGAGAAGGCUAGACAAGGUGAAGGUGUGAGGGAGGGGGAGGUUGGACAGUGGGCAAAUGUCUGGCCAUGUGUGCAUUCUAUACCCAUUCCGGAGUCAUCUGAUCAACCAAGAGAGUAAAAUGAUAAGAAUGGGGCUUAAGAGCAUCCAAACUUUUUUUUUUUAAGAUAGACAAUGAAUGGAAGCAGAGAAGCC
rnacentral:lncRNA from 1 species